GAUGAAGAACGCAGCGAAAUGCGAUAAGUAGUGUGAAUUGCAGAAUUCAGUGAAUCAUCGUAUCUUUGAACGCACAUUGCGCCCCUCGGUAUUCCGUGGGGCAUGCCUGUUCGAGCGUCAUUUAACCCCUCAAGCCUAGCUUGGUAUUGGGUGCUUGUCCCGCCUCUCGCGCGGCGACUCACCUCAAAGUCAUUGGCAGCCCGCAUCUCGCCGGCCGUGAGCGCAGCACAGACGCGCUCUUGGCAACGACGGAUCGGCUCUCCAAAAGCUUAUUUCAACCACUGACCUCGGAUCAGGUAGGGAUACCCGCUGAACUUAAGCAUAUCAAUAAGCGGAGGA
rnacentral:misc_RNA from 1 species